CCACGGUGACAGGAAACAGCUUGCUGUUUCGCUGACGAGUGGCGGACGGGUGAGUAAUGUCUGGGAAACUGCCUGAUGGAGGGGGAUAACUACUGGAAACGGUAGCUAAUACCGCAUAACGUCGCAAGACCAAAGAGGGGGACCUUCGGGCCUCUUGCCAUCAGAUGUGCCCAGAUGGGAUUAGCUAGUAGGUGGGGUAACGGCUCACCUAGGCGACGAUCCCUAGCUGGUCUGAGAGGAUGACCAGCCACACUGGAACUGAGACACGGUCCAGACUCCUACGGGAGGCAGCAGUGGGGAAUAUUGCACAAUGGGCGCAAGCCUGAUGCAGCCAUGCCGCGUGUAUGAAGAAGGCCUUCGGGUUGUAAAGUACUUUCAGCGGGGAGGAAGGGAGUAAAGUUAAUACCUUUGCUCAUUGACGUUACCCGCAGAAGAAGCACCGGCUAACUCCGUGCCAGCAGCUGCGGUAAUACGGAGGGUGCAAGCGUUAAUCGGAAUUACUGGGCGUAAAGCGCACGCAGGCGGUUUGUUAAGUCAGAUGUGAAAUCCCCGGGCUCAACCUGGGAACUGCAUCUGAUACUGGCAAGCUUGAGUCUUGUAGAGGGGGGUAGAAUUCCAGGUGUAGCGGUGAAAUGCGUAGAGAUCUGGAGGAAUACCGGUGGCGAAGGCGGCCCCCUGGACGAAGACUGACGCUCAGGUGCGAAAGCGUGGGGAGCAAACAGGAUUAGAUACCCUGGUAGUCCACGCCGUAAACGAUGUCGACUUGGAGGUUGUGCCCUUGAGGCGUGGCUUCCGGAGCUAACGCGUUAAGUCGACCGCCUGGGGAGUACGGCCGCAAGGUUAAAACUCAAAUGAAUUGACGGGGGCCCGCACAAGCGGUGGAGCAUGUGGUUUAAUUCGAUGCAACGCGAAGAACCUUACCUGGUCUUGACAUCCACGGAAGUUUUCAGAGAUGAGAAUGUGCCUUCGGGAACCGUGAGACAGGUGCUGCAUGGCUGUCGUCAGCUCGUGUUGUGAAAUGUUGGGUUAAGUCCCGCAACGAGCGCAACCCUUAUCCUUUGUUGCCAGCGGUCCGGCCGGGAACUCAAAGGAGACUGCCAGUGAUAAACUGGAGGAAGGUGGGGAUGACGUCAAGUCAUCAUGGCCCUUACGACCAGGGCUACACACGUGCUACAAUGGCGCAUACAAAGAGAAGCGACCUCGCGAGAGCAAGCGGACCUCAUAAAGUGCGUCGUAGUCCGGAUUGGAGUCUGCAACUCGACUCCAUGAAGUCGGAAUCGCUAGUAAUCGUGGAUCAGAAUGCCACGGUGAAUACGUUCCCGGGCCUUGUACACACCGCCCGUCACACCAUGGGAGUGGGUUGCAAAAGAAGUAGGUAGCUUAACCUUCGGGAGGGCGCUUACCACUUUGUGAUUCAUGACUGGGGUGAAGUCGUAACAAGGUAACCGUAGGGGAACCUGCGGUUG
rnacentral:rRNA from 1 species